UCCCUUGUGGCUCAGCUGGUAGAGAAUCUGCCUGCAAUGCGGGAGACCUGGGUUCGAUCCCUGGGUUGGGAA
rnacentral:tRNA from 1 species